AUUGAACGCUGGCGGCAUGCCUUACACAUGCAAGUCGAACGCGAAAGGGGGCAACCCUGAGUAGAGUGGCGAACGGGUGAGUAAUGCAUCGGAACGUGUCCUGUAGCGGGGGACAACCCCGAGAAAUCGGGGCUAAUACCGCAUACGUCCUACGGGAGAAAGUGGGGACCGCAAGGCCUCACACUAUAGGGGCGGCCGAUGCCGGAUUAGCUAGUUGGUGGGGUAAGAGCCCACCAAGGCGACGAUCCGUAGCUGGUCUGAGAGGAUAAUCAGCCACACUGGGACUGAGAAACGGCCCAGACUCCGACGGGAGGCAGCAGUGGGGAAUUUUGGACAAUGGGCGCAAGCCUGAGCCAGCCAUGCCGCGUGUAUGAAGAAGGCCUUCGAGUUGUAAAGUACUUUCAGCGGGGAGGAAGGCGGUGAAGUUAAUAGCUUCACCGAUUGACGUUACCCGCAGAAGAAGCACCGGCUAACUCCGUGCCAGCAGCCGCCGUAA
rnacentral:rRNA from 1 species